AAGAGUCUAAGCUUGGUCAGGUAUAUCAUUUGAAAUUUAACAUGAAGAUCUUAAGUUGGGAAAACAAAAGACUGAUAUGAGUAAUUGCUACAGCGGAAGUCUAACAUAUGAAUUUUAACUCUAGCCUCAGCUCCGUCCCGUCAGCACCAGCCAGCCAACCUGAAAACAUUUGAAAGUAUUUUUGGGCUAAGUACUAAUGUACUUAGUGGGCAUGCAUUUUCAUAAACAUUUCAUAUUUUCGUAAGAGCAGUUUAUCCAAUUAUACUUGACAUGACUUAGAAGGUUUUAAAAUGAAAUAAGUACUUCUAAGCAUGUUAAAACAUUUUUCAUUUGUGCGCACAUGUCACACUCCCUUUCCGUUACUCGCUGUGAUCCCGGACCUUUUAGCCACCGACGGAUCCAUUACUCCCGCUUUACUUGAACUGAGGGCGUAACCCAGUCAAGUUCCCAUUUGGGACCCAAUGCUCCGGAACACAUCCCGUCGAGCACCCUUAUAACGCCUCAUACAUGAUUAGUGCCCGAUGGAGAUCAACCCACCGAGUCAGCUAAUAGGUGUACACAAUUCUCAAAUAACGUGUUAGGUCAAGAGAGAACCUCGAUCGAUUCAUUGUUGCGAGCCUUAAACAGAGCAGAGUGCACAAAAUAUUUUAUUGGAUAAACAGUUUUCAUUACAUUAAAUAAACAAUUUGCAUUUCAUUGAAACAUUUAGAGCUUAAUAACUCAAUCAUACUUUGUACAUUUGGAAAGUAAGCCCACCUGGUUAGGCAAAGCCUGAAGAUCAUAAUCACUUAUAAACCUGUCUUGGGAAAGCAACGCUAAUCCC
rnacentral:lncRNA from 1 species